rnacentral:rRNA from 1 species
GACGAACGCUGGCGGCGUGCCUAAUACAUGCAAGUUGAGCGCUGAAGGUUGGUACUUGUACCAACUGGAUGAGCAGCGAACGGGUGAGUAACGCGUGGGGAAUCUGCCUUUGAGCGGGGGACAACAUUUGGAAACGAAUGCUAAUACCGCAUAAAAACUUUAAACACAAGUUUUAAGUUUGAAAGAUGCAAUUGCAUCACUCAAAGAUGAUCCCGCGUUGUAUUAGCGAGUUGGUGAGGUAAAGGCUCACCAAGGCGAUGAGACAUAGCCGAACUGAGAGGGUGAUCGGCCACAUUGGGAAUGAGACACGGCCCAAAGUCCUACGGGAGGCAGCAGGAGGGAAACUUCGGCAAAGGGCGAAAGUCUGACCGAGCAACGCCGCGUGAGUGAAGAAGGUUUUCGGAUCGUAAAACUCUGUUGGUAGAGAAGAACGUUGGUGAGAGUGGAAAGCUCAUCAAGUGACGGUAACUACCCAGAAAGGGACGGCUAACUACGUG